rnacentral:lncRNA from 1 species
ACAAUUACAAAUCAAAGGCCCAAAAGGAGGAUAAUCAAGCCUCAGUAUUUGAAGGAUUUUGCGUAACAAACAUGAGCUAGGAAUGCUGAGCUGGCAGAGUUUGAGUGGUUGGAAGAGCAGAUGCUGCCGGCCAUACUAUCCUUUUCUGCACCUUUCUGUUAUUUGCUAAAGAUCCUGUUACCAAUUGUUAGAAUUUGGUUAACAAUUUUUGUUUGCAUUAUCAAGCCUUAGUGCUAUAUAACAAUGAAUCAUGUAAUACGAAACUAUGAAGGAAUAAAACUAUCUUUUCUCAUCUUUAAUUCUGGAGGAGCCUAGUCCUCGAAUGCAAGGAGACCAGUGUCAGUAAUUAGAUUCAUAACACUUGGUGCUUUCAUUGAGAGCGUUGACAGACAAGUUCCUUUCUUACCUCACCCUCAUGGCUGAAUCCACUCACUCGAAAACGAACCUGGAACGGAUGGAGGAAGUAAUUGCCGAAUUGGCUUCCAAUCAGCUUCACAUCACUACCAAGCUCAAUGAGCUUAUCCAGCGCAUCACGGUUCUCGAGACCAACCAGCAACAAUCAGCCUCGCCUUCGUCUUCCUCCACCAACCCUUCCCACAUUGCUCCUUCUUCUCAGCUUCCUCGCAUGAAGCUAGAAGUGCCCCGUUUCGAUGGAACAGACCCCUCCGGGUGGAUAUUCAAGAUUAACCAGUUCUUCGCGUACCAUGUCACACCGGAACACGAACGUCUAACAAUCGCCUCCUUCUAUAUGGAGGGACCAGCUCUCGCAUGGUUCCAAUGGAAGACGAGAAACGGACAAUUGACUUCGUGGUCUGGAUUGCUUCAAGCUCUUGAAGCGCGCUUUGCUCCUUCCCAGUACGAGGAUCCUACUGGAAUCCUUUUCAAAUUGACACAAUGCGGCUCUGUCAUGGACUAUUUGUCGCAAUUUGAGACAUUGGUCAACCGCAUCGUCGGACUGCCGGCACCAUUUCUCUUGAGUUGCUUUGUCUCGGGUUUGAAGCCAGACAUUUGCCGCGAAGUACAGGCACUCCAACCCUUGACUCUGGUUCAAGUUGUUGCGCUGGCGCGACUCCAAGAGGAGAAAAUCACUGAACAUCACCGUGCUUUCCGUGGCCGUACCACUCUUGGGUUACCACCACCACUGGGGUCUACCUCUCCACCGCCAUCGACAAUUCCUUUGUUGUUACCACCCGCAAAACCUCCUCCUCUUCCUUUAAACGACUAUCGCUGGAAGAAAUGGCGAAUCGCCGCGAGAAGGGGCUCUGCUUCAACUGCGACGAGAAGUUCACUCGAGGGCACAGAUGCUCCUCAAAGUUCUUCCUCCUCAUCGCAAACGAAGAGGCCGCAGAGAAUGUCAACAACCCUACCCAAGAGCCACUUCCCCAUUCUGAAAAUAUAAGUGACCAGCCCCAGGCCCAAAUUAGUUUUUAUGCGCUUCCGGGCCACUUAGCCCCAAAGACUUUGCGCUUGGUGGGCCGAAUUGCCAAUCACACCGUGAUCAUCCUGAUCGAUAACUAUGUGCAGGAACAUCUCGUUCGAACCUUGGAUCUGAGUACCCAGCCCACACACCCCCUUAGAGUAGUGGUGGGCAAUGGGAAUGAAGUGGUGUGCCACCACCUAUGUGCCGUCACCACGUUUCAUGUCUAAGGCCAGACCUUCACUAUGGACCUCCAUGUCUUACCUCUCUACGGGACAGAUUUAGUUUUGGGAGUUCAAUGGUUAAAAUCCAUGGGCCCUAUCCUUACUGACUAUAAUGAACUCACCAUGAAAUUCAUACAUGACGGCAACAUUAUAGAACUAAAAGGGAAUACUAAUAGCGGCCUUCAUUCAAUCACACCCCCACAACUCCGCCGCAUGAUCAAAACUGACAAUGUCAGUGCUUAUUUCCAUAUCCGUAUAUUAUCCUCUGAGCCCCCUUCAAUCAAAACCAACACAAUACCUUACCCUAAGAUUGACUCCUUAAUCCACAAAUUCUCUUCCCUAUUCCAAACUCCAACGACCUUACCUCCCAGUCGAAACACCAACCAUGCAAUCCAUCUACUUCCUAAUUCUGAACCUGUAAACGUGCAGCCUUACCGUUAUCCAUACUUUCAAAAGCAAGAAAUCGAAAACCAAGUCAAGUCAAUGCUGAAGAGGGGAAUCAUUCAGCCUGGUACCAGCCCCUUCUCUUCACCCGUUCUGUUGGUCAAAAAGAGAGACGGAACUUGGCAAUUUUGUGUUGAUUACAGAGCAUUGAACGCCAUCACCAUCAAGGACCGAUUUCCAAUUCCCACGAUUGAUGAGCUUCUGGACAAACUAAGGGGCUCCUGCUACUUCUCGAAGUUGGAUCUCCUGCAAGGUUAUCACCAAAUACUGAUGCAAGACGAUGAUGUGUACAAAACUGCCUUCAGAACUCACCAUGGUCAUUGCAAGUUCUGUGUAAUGCCAUUCGGCUUGUGCAACGCACCAUCUUCAUUUCAGGCUAUGAUGAAUAGCAUCUUUGCACCAUACUUGCAUAAGUUUAUCAUCGUGUUCUUUGACGACAUCUUGAUUUGCAACAAGUCUUUUACAGAGCAUCUUGUGCAAUUGGAAAGUGCCUUUCAAGUGCUGGUCACAGGACAAUUCUACCUUAAGCUCUCUAAAUGUACUUUCGCCCAGAAACAAAUAGAAUAUUUGGGGCAUGUAGUUUCGCAACACGGUGUUGAACCAGUUCCCGCAAAGGUCGAAGCAAUUCAAAACUGGCCCACACCUCAUUCUACUAAGGCACCCAGAGGAUUUUUGGGCUUGUCGGGGUUUUAUCGAAGAUUUAUAAAGGACUAUGCUUCCAUGGCGGCUCCAUUAACUCAUCUUUUGGCCAAAGAUCAGUUCUAGUGGACACCAGAAUCUCAACAAGCCUUCGACACUUUAAAGAAUGCGAUUUGUCAGGCCCCCGUUCUCGGGCUACCGGAUUUUUCCUUGCCCUUCGUUGUCGAGAUAGAUGCUUCAGGGGUGGGCAUGGGCGUUGUUCUGUCCCAACGAAACCACCCCAUUGCUUUCUUCAACAAGCCAUUAUGCUCGAAGCUCCUUCACUCUUCUACCUAUGUCAGAGAACUCGUGGCUAUCACCUCUACAAUGAAGAAAUGGCGCCAGUAUCUACUGGGUCAUCACUUCACGAUCUUAACAGAUCACUGGAGUCUGAAAGAGUUGAUGUUGCAGGUGAUUUAGAUGCCUGAACAACAACUCUAUCUCGCUCGACUGAUGGGGUAUGACUACUCCAUUCAGUAUCACUCCGGGAAACACAACGUUGCUGCUGAUGCCCUCUCCCGGAUUCCAGCAACUCCUAUCGGAAAAUUGUUGAUGAUAAUUGUUCCUCAUCUCGUUUUUUUGCAGGAAUUGAAAACAGAGUUGCAACUUCAUCCUGAUUAUGUGGCUUUCCGACAAAGCAUAGAAGCUGACCCUCAGAAUUAUCCAAAUUGUGUCAUUCUGCAGGAUCUUAUUAUUUAGAAGGGCCACAUUUGGCUUCUGAAAGGGUUCUGUUUUAUUAAAACUCUCCUUGAGGAAUACCAUUCAACACUGACAGGAGGCCAUAUGGGGAUAGCUAAGACUCUUGCUCAAGUUGGUGAGAAUUUUACGUGGUCUGGGAUCAAGGAUGAUGUUCGACGCUUUAUCCUUGCUUGCGUUGACUGUCAACAGACAAAGUAUGAUCAUUAAAAGCAAGCAAGCCUACUCUGUCCUUUACCGGUACCUUCUCGUCCGUAGGAGGACCUUUCUUUGGAUUUCAUCGGCGGAUUGCCAGUUUUUCGGGGACACACUGUGAUCCUGGUCGUCAUAGACCGUUUUUCAAAGGGAAUUCACCUUGGUACCCUCCAAACCCAUUACAUAGCUUCAAUGGUGGCGCAGCUCUUCAUGCACAUUGUUGGCAAGAUCCAUGGAUAGACUGAGGUGUUAAAUCGCAUAAUAGAACAGUAUUUGGGAGCUUUUGUUCAUCCUCGACCUUCAACCUGGGGAAAAUUCUUACUAUGGGCAGAAUGGUCGUAUAAUACAUCCAUUCAUUCAGGCAUGGGGCUGUCACCUUACAAGAUCACCUUUGGGAAGAAACCUCCCAAUAUUCCGCAUUAUGUGACGGGAACAUCCAACCUUGAUGCCGAGGAUGACUUUCUUGCUGACCGCGAAGCUGUAUUCGCUGAUUUUAGGAAGAAACUUAUCAAAGCUCAUCAUACUAUGAAACAUUUUCCUAAUAACAAUAGACAUGAUGUUAGCUUCUGAGAAGGUGAUUGGGUAUUUGUUAAGCUUCGACCAUGCCAACAAACGACUGUUACAGGGACAACCCCAUGUUGCUUCUAUGGCCCAUUUUAAAUAGUGCAGAAGAUUGGCCCAAUUGCUUACCAACUGGAACUACCACCUGGGUCACGCAUUCACCCAGUGUUUCAUUGCUCUCUGCUUAAACCGUUUCAACCAUUAACUGAUCAGACUAAUCCUAUUGCUGAGCUACCAACCACAUCAGUCGAUAAUGACCCAAUUAUUUCUCCUCUGGUGAUUUUAGACACUAAAUGGGAUCAAUCUGAUAAUGGGCCUAAAUUGAUGGUUCUAGUCCAAUGGAAGGGCCUGUUCCCUGAAGACGCAUCGUGGGAACCUUGGGAGAGUCUCAAGGCUGACUUCCACCUUGAGGACAAGGUGUUCUUUGAUGGGCACGGGAAUGUUAUGAAUGAAACAGAACAGCAACAACAAACAAAUAAUAUUGAUAGGGCAAUACAACAAGCUGACACAGGGGAGACAAUUACAAAUCAAAGGCCCAAAAGGAGGAUAAUCAAGCCUCAGUAUUUGAAGGAUUUUGCGUAACAAACCUGAGCUAGGAAUGCUGAGCUGGCAGAGUUUGAGUGGUUGGAAGAGCAUAUGCUGUCGGCCAUACUAUCCUUUUCUGCACCUUUCUGUUAUUUGCUAAAGAUCCUGUUACCAAUUGUUAGAAUUUGGUUAACAGUUUUUGUUUGCAUUAUCAAGCCUUAGUGCUAUAUAACAAUGAAUCAUGUAAUUCGAAACUAUGAAGGAAUAAAACUAUCUUUUCUCAUCUUUAAUUCUGGAGGAGCCUAGUCCUCGAAUGCUAGGAGACCAGUGUCGGUAAUUAGAUUCAUAACAUGAAACUCUUGAUCUGCCUCACCUGUGAAACCAGCAGCAACAUCUCCAGAGGAGGUCACAAAUGAUGUCAAAUCCGAUGAGAUACAAUCUUUUAUAAAAACCUGCAUAAACAUUAUAAAUGGUAAGAACAAAAAUACAAGAACUACUUAUUACUGUAAGUAUAUGUAUUCACCAUGAUGUAACAGGCUGACAGUCAAGUAUAUGUCAGAAUUUCUCCUUGAUUAAUGGAGAAACACAUUUGAGCACAUUCAAAGAACCCUGUAAGGGUAACUAUUCCUAGGUCUAAAACAAUUUUUUUGCAAAAACCAAAGGUUGGUGAUUGUCCCCUAGAUGGAAUAAAGUUCUAGGAAGAUCAAGUUGUUGCUUGAUAUUUGUGAACCACUCAUUACCUUCUAUAAAUAGAAUAUUCUGAAGUUUGAG